UACUCGAUGGAAUUUCCAUUAUACAUAUAACAUAUGUACAUAUAUACAUACAUACAUACAUGUACAUAUAUACAAACAUACGUAUUUGAAAUAGAACAAAAGUGCACUAGUAAAUCAGUGUUUAGGAGAUGAUUUACAAACCAAAGUCUGUCGAUCAUUUCAAUAAUUGAAGCAUGAGUUUGCAUCACUUAUUUUUCUGCUGAUACGAACGUUCAUAAACAAAUCAGGUAUAAGCUGAUCGCUAGUGAUUCAAAGUUGUUCUCUAUCGCUGAUUUGAAGAUAAACAGUGCGCUUCGUGUACACGAACUGAACUGACAGAAUCAGACAGAGUAACGGAUCAGUACUUAAGUGAUACAAACAACCGUUAGGUGAAUAAAACUAUUUUAUUCCGUAGAAACAUGUUGCAAGAGUACAGAAUUAAAGUUCGAAUUGUUGGCGCAUCCACCGUAUUCACCAAAUUUGGCCCCCAGCGCUUACAUUUGUUUCCAGAACUCAAAAAAUGUAUGCGUGGCAAGCGUUUUUUCAUCAAAUGAAGAGGUCAUAACUUCUGUUGAAGCUUAUUUUGAAGACCUUCCGGAUUCUCACUUUAGGGAUGGGAUCCACAAGUGUAUUAAUGUUCAGGGAGAUUAUACUAAAUAAUAAAGUGUAUUUUGAAUCAUAAAA